rnacentral:rRNA from 1 species
UACAGAGGGUGCAAGCGUUAAUCGGAAUUACUGGGAGUAAAGCGUGCGUAGACGGUUAUGUAAGUCGGGUGUGAAAGCCCCGGGCUCAACCUGGGAAUGCCAUUCGAGACUGCAUAGCUAGGGUGCGGAAGAGGGAAGCGGAAUUUCCGGUGUAGCGGUGAAAUGCGUAGAUAUCGGAAGGAACACCAGUGGCGAAAGCGGCUUCCUGGUCCAGCACCGACGUUCAGGCACGAAAGCGUGGGGAGCAAACAGG